rfam:Macrostomum lignano unitig_11249, whole genome shotgun sequence.
UAUCUGGUUGAUCUGCAGUUAGUCUAUGCUUGUCUCCAAGAUUUAAGCCAUGACUGUCUUAAGACAAACCUUAAUAACGGUGAACGCGGAAUGGCACAUUAACUCAGCUAUAGGUCUUAGAUGUCUAUCCUACUCGCGAUAAUGUGGAAAAUUCUAGCAGAUAAUACGUGACUUACAAGCCUGACCUCACCGGGCAGGGGCGCAUUCUUAGAUUCAAAAACCAGUCGGGCUUGCCACCGUCUGCCUUGGUGACUCUGCGAUUAACUUCUUGAUGUCGAUCGCAUGGCCUCUGCGCUGGCGGACGUAUCUUUCAAGCUGUCUGCCCUAUAAAUUACGAUGGUAGGCUGAUAUGGCUACCAUGGUUAUAACGGCGUAACGGGAAUAGAGGUUCGAUUCCGGAGAGGGAGCCUGAAGAAACGGCGUACCACAUCUAAGUAAGGCAGCGUCAGCGCGCAAAUUACCACUCCCGGCAGGGGAGGUCAGUGACGAAAAUACGUAUACGGGACUUUUUUGGGCCCCGUAUGGAAUGAGUACACUUUAAUCGAAAAAAAGAAAUUAUAACAAUAUUUAUUGGAGGGCAACAAGUUGGUGCCAGCCAGCGCCGUAAUUCUCAGCUUCCAAUUAGCGGUAAUAUUUAAGUUGCUAGCAGUUAAAACUCUAGUUGGAUUGAGGACUCCGAUUGGGUUGGUGCACAUACGUGUUAUGCCGAUUUCGGCCUACUAGUCGGUGUUUCGCUCUUUGGUGUUUUAAUGGGAAUGCCCUGAGUUGCCCGGCAUUUACUUUAUUUGAAUUAGGAAGUGGCUUAAAGCAAGGCCAUUAGCCGGAAUAAUUCAGAAUUGGAAUUUGGAAUAUGACUUCGCGUUUCUUUUUGUUGGUUUUCGAACCCGAGAGUAAUGUUAGAGAGACAGACGGAGGCAUUCGUACUGCGGCUGUUAGAGCGUGAAUUCUUGGAUCGCCGCAGACGAACAACUGCGGAAAGCAUUUGCCAAGAAUGUUUCAUUAAUCAGAACGGAAAGUCAGAGGUUCGAAGACGAUCAGAUACGUCCUAGUUUGAACAUUAAACGGUGCCAUGGCGAUCCGAGAUCGUUUUCGCUUAUUGACCUCUCGGGCAGCCUCCGGGAAACCAAAGAUUUUUAGGUUCCGGGGGAAGUAUGCGUUGCAAAGCUCGGAACUUUAAAGCGAAUUGACGGAACAAGGGCACAACAGGAGUGGACGCCUGCGGCUUAACUUUGACUCACAACACGGGAAAAUCACCGGCCGGACAACUGUUAGGUAUUGACAGAUUUGAGAGCUCUUUUUUUGAUUCGGGUGAGGUGGUCGGUGCAUGGCAUGUUCUUAGUGUUGGAAAGCGAUUGUGUCUGGUUAAUUCCGAUAACGAAACGAGAGAACUUAGCCUGCUAAAUAGUAACGCCGAUCCUUUUCGGUCAGGUGCUACUUCUUAGAGGACAAGGAGUCUUGAAGACGCACGAGAUUGAGCUAAUAACAGGUCCUUGUGCAUGCCUUAGAUGUUCGGGCCAUCACGACGCGUAACUGAAGGGGACAGCGGUUUUCCUGGUUCGAAAGAACCGGAGUAUCUGUUGAAUUCCCUUUCGUGACAGGGAAUCGGGGCUUUGCAAUUAUUUCCCGUGAACGAGGAUUCCAGUAAGACGCAAGUCAUCAGUUGCGUUGAUUACGUCCUGCCUUUUGUACACACGCGUCGCUUCCUACCGGAAUUGAUGGUUUAGCAAGGUCCUCGGAUUGUUGCGACUUGGUGGCAACACUAGUCGGAUUACUGAAAGAGAUCAAACUUGAUAUUUAGGUAGGAAGUAAAAAGUCGUAACAGGUUUCGUUAGUGUGAAACCUGCGAAGGGAUCAUUA